AACGAACGCUGGCGGCAUGCCUAACACAUGCAAGUCGAACGAGACCUUCGGGUCUUGUGGCGCACGGGUGCGUACCGCGUGGGAACCUGCCCUUAGGUUCGGUAUCCCUCCCCGUAAGGGGUGCUCAUACCGCUUAAUGUCUUCGGACCAAAGAUUUCUCGCCUUUGGAUGGGCCCGCGUUGGAUUCGCUAGUUGGUAGGGUAAAAGCCUACCAAGGCGACGAUGCAUAGCUGGUCUGAGAGGAUGAUCAGCCACACUGGGACUGAGACACGGACCAGACUCCUACGGGAGGCAGCAGUGGGGAAUAUUGGACAAGGGGCGAAAGCGUGAUCCAGCAAUGCCGCGUGAGUGAUGAAGGCCUUAGGGUUGUAAAGCUCUUUUACCCGGGAUGAUAAUGACAGUACCGGGAGAAGAAGCACCGGCUAACUCCGUG
rnacentral:rRNA from 1 species